UACGAGGGGCGCAAGUGUUGUUCGGAAUCACUGGGCGUAAAGGGAGCGUAGGCGGGCUUUUAAGUUAGGUGUUUAAUCCCGGGGCCCAACCCCGGACCGGCACCUAAAACUGGGAGUCUUGAAUAGUGGAGAGGUCAGUGGAAUUGGGGGUGUAGCGGUGGAAUGCGUAGAGAUCCCCAAGAACACCAGUUGCGAAGGCGGCGACCUGGGUAGAUACUGACGCUGAGGUGCGAAAGCGUGGGGAGCAAACAGG
rnacentral:rRNA from 1 species